GGGUUUUCGGAGUCGGACUCGUGGCCAACCUCCCACCCUUGUCUCUAUACACCUGUUGCUUUGGCGGGCCCACCGGGGCCACCUGGUCGCCGGGGGACAUCUGUCCCCGGGCCCGCGCCCGCCGAAGCGCUCUGUGAACCCUGAUGAAGAUGGGCUGUCUGAGUACUAUGAAAAUUGUCAAAACUUUCAACAAUGGAUCUCUUGGUUCCGGCAUCGAUGAAGAACGCAGCGAAAUGCGAUAAGUAAUGUGAAUUGCAGAAUUCCGUGAAUCAUCGAAUCUUUGAACGCACAUUGCGCCCCCUGGCAUUCCGGGGGGCAUGCCUGUCCGAGCGUCAUUUCUGCCCUCAAGCACGGCUUGUGUGUUGGGUGCGGUCCCCCCGGGGACCUGCCCGAAAGGCAGCGGCGACGUCCGUCUGGUCCUCGAGCGUAUGGGGCUUUGUCACUCGCUCGGGAAGGACUGGCGGGGGUUGGUCACCACCAAAAUUUUACCACGGUUGACCUCGGAUCAGGUAGGAGUUACCCGCUGAACUUAAGCAUAUCAAUAAGCGGAGAAA
rnacentral:rRNA from 1 species